GUCGAAGCCACGUCCGUGUCGUUUGAUAAUGGCAAAAGUCUCGUGUGUGGGGUGGUGGGGGUGGGGCUGUGUGAGACUAUUGUUUUCGAGAUUGCUAGCGAAAAGCAUCUCAAUCCCUGAAUCGCACACCCAGCCAGAACGAACGCCAGAAGGCCCAGAACCGCUACCUCCUCCAAUACACUUUCGUGGCUCCGCCGCAGCACGAAACCCUAGCUUCUGCAUCUCCGCCCCCUCCACCUCCCCUCCGCGAAGCAGGCGAGAUGUCGUCGGGCGGCGGUGGGGGGCAGCAGUUCCGCUACACGCAGACGCCGUCCAAGGUGCUGCACCUGCGGAACCUUCCGUGGGAGUGCGCGGAAGAGGAGCUCGUUGAGCUCUGCAAGCCCUUCGGCCGCAUCAUCAACACAAAGAGCGGCGUCGGCGCCAACCGCAACCAGGCCUUCGUCGAGUUCACUGACGUUAAUCAGGCAAUCUCGAUGGUUUCUUACUUUGCAUCAUCUUCAGAACCAGCACAAAUACGAGGCAAGACUGUUUACAUUCAGUAUUCAAACAGGCAAGAAAUAAUUAACAACAAGAGUCCUGGAGAGACUGCUGGAAAUGUCUUGCUUGUUACUAUAGAGGGUGUUCAAGCUAGUGACGUCACCAUUGAUGUGAUCCAUAUGGUUUUCUCGGCCUUUGGGUAUGUUCAUAAAAUAGCCACCUUUGAAAAGGCUGCAGGUUUUCAGGCAUUGAUCCAGUACACUGAUGCAGAUACUGCUUCAGCUGCUAGAGAAGCCUUAGAUGGAAGGAGCAUCCCAAGUUACUUGCUUCCAGAGCACGUGACAUCCUGCUGCCUGCGGAUUUCUUUUUCUGCACAUAAGGAUUUAAACAUCAAGUUUCAGUCAAACCGCAGCAGGGAUUAUAAUAAUCCAUAUCUUCCAAUUAAUUAUUCUGCCAUGGAUGGUACAUUGCAGCCUGCUGUUGGAUCUGACGGAAGGAAAGUGGAGGCUCAAGGCAAUGUUCUUCUUGCAUCAAUUGAGAAUAUGCAAUAUGCUGUUUCUGUAGACGUGCUUCAUACUGUGUUCUCAUCAUUUGGUACAGUCCAGAAAAUUGCUAUUUUUGAGAAGAAUGGGGGAACACAAGCUUUGAUUCAGUACCCUGUAAUCGUUUACCAUCUGCCAACUCUGAAGUGCUUGGAUCUCCCUAAAAAGAAAAGAUUUUCCUUAUCAGAUGAUGUUUUGCCAAAACCCAAUGUGAAAGUGAUUUUCCUGUGUUAUAACAAAAACAAGAGGCUUUCACAUAUUUAGGAAUGGCAUCUCCUGGGACCCUGGAGCCCUUGAUUAAUCUGCUUAUAGUAACAUUGACUUUCUCACUAAACAUGCAGCUGAUUAUUUCAUUUUCCCAUGUGCUUUUCUAUAGAAAUUAUUCAUCUGAAUCUGAUUAAGUCUUUCUUUACACUUUAGAUGUAAAUACUGCCGCUGUAGCGAAGGAAGCAUUGGAAGGGCAUUGCAUCUACGAUGGCGGCUACUGUAAGCUUCACCUGUCAUACUCCCGUCAUACUGAUCUGAAUGUGAAGGCACAUGGUGACAAGAGCAGAGAUUAUACAAUUCCAGCUGGCGUAAUCCAAGGGGCGCCACAACCACCUGGUAUACAAGCCACGUCCCCUGGGUGGCAAGGUAACCUUCAAGCAGCAGGGCCAUAUGCCCCACCCGGUGCCCCUCCUCAAAAUCACAGUGCCAAUGGACAAGUGCCGAACUGGACUCCUGGCAAUUCAGGGUAUUCCCCAGCCCCAGGAACAUAUCCAGGCCAGAUGUACUCAUCUCCGGCACAGUAUGUAGCAUCAGGGAGCUUCCUUAAUACCUCAGCGGCCACUCCGCCUCAGUAUGCAACCUCAGGGGGCUUCCCUAAUACCCCAUCCACCGCUCCGUCACAGUAUGCAGCAUCAAGGGGCUUCCCUAACACCACACCUGCCGCCCCUCCUGGUGCUCCAUCACAAACGCCGCACGCUUCCCAGCAGAUGCCGCAUCAGCAUGGAAAUCAUUCAGGAGGAGGCACGCCCGGAACUAGCCAACCGCCACUGCCAGCAUCAUAUUACCGUUAAGUUGGAUCUUCUUUUGCUAUUGUACUUGACCUGUGUUUUGAACUGAGUAAUCAUGUAAUACUGCAAUAACCUGCGGUCUGUAACUGUGUUUAGAUGUGAUAGCAGAUGGAUACGAGUGAGGAAUACAUGAAUAUGUUUGGGGUUUUCAUUCAUUUUAAAAAACGGAUCAGUGUUGGCUCAUGGCGAUUACUGGCAAGAUCAUGAUUGA